rnacentral:rRNA from 1 species
UGGGGAAUAUUGGACAAUGGGCGCAAGCCUGAUCCAGCCAUGCCGCGUGAGUGAUGAAGGCCCUAGGGUUGUAAAGCUCUUUCACCGGUGAAGAUAAUGACGGUAACCGGAGAAGAAGCCCCGGCUAACUUCGUGCCAGCAGCCGCGGUAAUACGAAGGGGGCUAGCGUUGUUCGGAUUUACUGGGCGUAAAGCGCACGUAGGCGGACUUUUAAGUCAGGGGUGAAAUCCCGGGGCUCAACCCCGUAACUGCCUUUGAUACUGGAAGUCUUGAGUAUGGUAGAGGUGAGUGGAAUUCCGAGUGUAGAGGUGAAAUUCGUAGAUAUUCGGAGGAACACCAGUGGCGAAGGCGGCUCACUGGACCAUUACUGACGCUGAGGUGCGAAAGCGUGGGGAGCAAACAGG